rnacentral:rRNA from 1 species
GACGUAGGGCGCGAGCGUUGUCCGGAUUUAUUGGGCGUAAAGAGCUCGUAGGCGGCUUGUCGCGUCGUUCGUGAAAACCUGCAGCUCAACUGCAGGCUUGCGGUCGAUACGGGCAGGCUAGAGUUCGGUAGGGGAGACUGGAAUUCCUGGUGUAGCGGUGAAAUGCGCAGAUAUCAGGAGGAACACCGGUGGCGAAGGCGGGUCUCUGGCCAUAUACUGACGCUGAAACACGAAAGCGUGGGUAGCAAACAGG